rnacentral:rRNA from 1 species
UACGUAGGGAGCGAGCGUUGUCCGGAUUUACUGGGCGUAAAGGGCGCGUAGGCGGUCUGUUUAGUGUGAAGUGAAAUCUCCAGGGCUCAACCCGGAAACUGCUUUGCAAACUGGCAGACUAGAGGAAGGUAGAGGUAAGUGGAAUUCCCGGUGUAGCGGUGACAUGCAUUGAUACCGGGAGGAACACCCGUGGCGAAGGCGGCUUACUGGACAAAAACUGACGCUGAGGCGCGAAAGCUAGGGGAACAAACAGG